GGCAAGAUGGCCGAGUGGUCUAAGGCGUGUGACUCAAGCUGAAAAAUGCUUGCCAGCGAUGACUGGUUUCUCAUAGGGCAACCUGCGUGGGUUCGAAUCCCACUCUUGUCA